rnacentral:tRNA from 3 species
GGCCCCAUAGCUCAGGGGAUAGAGCACUGCCCUCCGGAGGCAGGGGCCGCAGUUCGAAUCUGCGUGGGGCCACCA